UGUGCUGUAUGAAAUGAAUUUACAUGCAUGUACACAUACAUGACACAUAUUUAUUUGUGUACAUUAGGAGAUUUAGUUGACCUUUCAUUUGAUUUGCAUUUUAUAUGUACUAGAUCUGUGAUAGUCCUUUACAUUUGUAAAAGAUUAAAUAUUUUUCCUGCCAUAUAUGUUUGUUAAUGAAUAGAAGUCCUUUGCAUAUCCCUUUAUGUCUUGAAUAAGUUGAAUGCAAUAUAAUGAAUUUAACUUCUAAUUAAAAAAAAAAAAUUAUUCAUCUUUAUUUUAGUUCUUUUAUAAAUUACGUGCUUUUUAUUUUGUUAUUAAUUUGAUAAAAAGUGACAGGCAUUCAUUAUUUGCAUACAAGCUUUGCAAAAGGAUCAUUAUCAGUAACUGGAAUCAUAUAUGUCAAAUUGACACUAGAAUUAUGCAAAUAGCAAUCAUGUAUACAUUUUAUAUUUGACUAUUAAAAUGAUUUUAUUGAGAC
rnacentral:misc_RNA from 1 species